CCUACGGGAUGCAGCAGUGGGGAAUAUUGCACAAUGGGCGCAAGCCUGAUGCAGCCAUGCCGCGUGUAUGAAGAAGGCCUUCGGGUUGUAAAGUACUUUCAGCGGGGAGGAAGGUGUUGUGGUUAAUAACCACAGCAAUUGACGUUACCCGCAGAAGAAGCACCGGCUAACUCCGUGCCAGCAGCCGCGGUAAUAUGGAGGGUGCAAGCGUUAAUCGGAAUCACUGGGCGUAAAGCACACGCAGGCGGUCUGUCAGGUCGGAUGUGAAAUCCCCGGGCUCAACCUGGGAACUGCAUUCGAAACUGGCAGGCUAGAGUCUUGUAGAGGGGGGUAGAAUUCCAGGUGUAGCGGUGAAAUGCGUAGAGAUCUGGAGGAAUACCGGUGGCGAAGGUGGCCCCCUGGACAAAGACUGACGCUCAGGUGCGAAAGCGUGGGGAGCAAACGGGAUUAGAUACCCUUGUAGUC
rnacentral:rRNA from 1 species